GGCGCUAGACAUGGGGUGUGAGGGAACAUUAAAAAACUACCCUGUUCUGUUUAAAGCUGCUUGUCUCCCCUGGACUUCAAACUGCAUGUGUGUCUUGGCAUCCUUCUCCGGGCGCUUUCAUGGUUUUCUGAAGACAGGCGAAGAGGUAGAAGAAAAUCUGUCUCAAAGCCAGUUUGUAAAGCAUUGCUAUGCACUUGGACACCUGCCUUUGACUGACUGCAGUGGUGCCGCUCGCGUGCUUUUUCAGGGUUAAACACUGCCUCCUCAACCUCAUCUUGUUUUUUGCAUGUGACACAAUGCAAAGAAAAGAAAAAAUAGGGAUGCUUUGGAGGAGACGUUAACAAAGCCGUUUGCUGCUGAAUGGACAGAUUUCCAGGAAACCUCAAGUCUAAAAUGGCCGUGUUUUCUACAGGACUUGGCCUCAGCCACGGCUGCUGCUCUCCCGACACCUGCAGAGUGCCCCUGAGUCCUAUCGAAAAGCUGACC